rnacentral:rRNA from 1 species
CUACGGGAUGCAGCAGUGGGGAAUAUUGCGCAAUGGGCGAAAGCCUGACGCAGCAACGCCGCGUGAGUGAUGAAGGCCUUCGGGUCGUAAAGCUCUGUCAGGAGGAACGAAUAAUUAACUGGAACAAUACCCAGAUAACUUGACGGUACCUCCAGAGGAAGCACCGGCUAACUCCGUGCCAGCAGCCGCGGUAAUACGGAGGGUGCAAGCGUUGUUCGGAAUUACUGGGCGUAAAGCGCGUGUAGGCGGACUCAGAAGUCGGGUGUGAAAGCCCCGGGCUCAACCCGGGAAGUGCGCUCGUAACCAUGAGUCUUGAGAUCCGGAGAGGAUCGGGGAAUUCCUGGUGUAGAGGUGAAAUUCGUAGAUAUCAGGAAGAACACCGGUGGCGAAGGCGCCGAUCUGGACGGAUUCUGACGCUGAGACGCGAAAGCGUGGGGAGCAAACAGGAUUAGAUACCCUCGUAGUC